rnacentral:rRNA from 1 species
ACAUGCAAGUCGAACGAAGGCCCGGAGCUUGCUCCGGAUCCCUUAGUGGCGAACGGGUGAGUAACGCGUGGGAAUCUACCUAAGAAUGGGGAAUAACUGUUGGAAACGACAGCUAAUACCGCAUAAUCCCUUCGGGGCAAAGGCUUCGGCCGUUUUUAGAUGAGCCCGCGUUAGAUUAGGCUGUUGGUGAGGUAAUGGCUCACCAAACCUACAAUCUAUAGCUGGUCUGAGAGGAUGAUCAGCCACACUGGGACUGAGACACGGCCCAGACUCCUACGGGAGGCAGCAGUGGGGAAUAUUGGACAAUGGGGGAAACCCUGAUCCAGCAAUGCCGCGUGAGUGAUGAAGGCCCUAGGGUUGUAAAGCUCUUUCAGAAGUGAAGAUGAUGACGGUAACUUCAGAAGAAGCUCCGGCUAACUCCGUGCCAGCAGCCGCGGUAAUACGGAGGGAGCUAGCGUUGUUCGGAAUUACUGGGCGUAAAGGGCGUGUAGGCUGUAUGGUUAGUCAGAGGUGAAAUCCCUAAGCUCAACUUAGGAACUGCCUUUGAUACUAUCAUACUAGAGAUCGAGAGAAGUUAGCGGAAUUCCAAGUGUAGAGGUGAAAUUCGUAGAUAUUUGGAAGAACACCUGUGGCGAAAGCGGCUAACUGGCUCGUUUCUGACGCUGAGACGCGAAAGCGUGGGUAGCAAACAGGAUUAGAUACCCUGGUAGUCCACGCCGUAAACGAUGAGUGCUAGCCGUUUGUGAUUAAUCACAAGUGGUGCAGUUAACACAUUAAGCACUCCGCCUGGGGAGUACGAU